rnacentral:snRNA from 1 species
CACGUUACACACUAAAUCAUAGCCAAUGAGGUUUAUCCGAGGCAUGAUUAUUGCUAAUUGAAAAACUAACUUGAUAAACUUAGAACAAAUCACUUCUCUUUAUUUAUAAA